rnacentral:lncRNA from 1 species
CCAGUGAGGUAGGGGAUAUUAUAAGCAUUUAAAGAUGGAGUCUAGCAGCGGGCGGUGGGGGUCGGGGGAGGGUUCAGGGGAGGGAACUGGAAUGAGAGAAAGUGGGCAAGAGAGGCAAGGUGACUCAUCCCUUACAGCCCGACCUCCUCAUCUCUUGUCUCCAGGCCUCUGUCUUAGGCACCCAUAAAGGGAUUUACAUUCCCAGCAGCAGGGCACAGGGUGUCAGGUAGGGUAGUCUUAAAUAGUUUGCUUGGGCAUGGCCUUGUCUAAAACUUGCUAUCUCUGCGGCAGCCACGGCUUUGCCCAUGUCUCACAGAAGCGUCUCACAGAAGCGAAGUUCCAGACUGUUUCUCCCUCUUAGAUCUCUGCACAUUUCAUCUGCCCGUUCUGACUUAAAUGACUGUCUUGCUUGUUGGUACUCGGCCUCCUGGUGGACGGAGCUAGCAAACAGAAACCCAGUUGAAGAAGGAAAUGAAACUGAGUGUCUGUUGUAAGGCAGGGAGGAGUGCCAGAAGGAAGGACGGGCUCAUUUGAUGGUGCCGAGGCAGGGCUGUGCCAAGCUACAGUGCCCACCACGAAGUAAUGUCCAUGUUUUCCAGAU